rnacentral:lncRNA from 10 species
UGAUCCUUGUAAGUUUAGUAUAAAUAUAUCUAGACAUUCAGACUGUGUCUAGCAGUUACGUCCUGCUUAAAGGGACUAGAAGUCAAAGUUCCUUGUCUCACUAUUUGAUCUGCUUUGCAGGGAAAUAACUUGUUUUUUCUCAUGUUUCAUCUUCUUUUUAUGUAAAUUUGUAAUACUUUCCUAUAUUGCCCUUUGAAAUUUUUGGAUAAAAGAUGAUGUUUUAAGUUCCAAUGAGUAUUACUAGUUACUCAAUACCACUUAUUGAGUACUCUGUUUCUACGUAUGUAGAAUGUAUAGGGAUAGAAGAGUUGAAAAGGGAAAGCAAAACUCCUCAAGUAGCUUCCUUAAAAUGUCAUUCAUAGGAGAUGUACUGGAAUUGCUCAUUCUGUGACUUUAUUUGUGUCCUAAACAUUCUUCAGUGAAAAUAAUUUUAUUUCAGUCAAACAUUUAUGAGGAAAUGAGAUCACAUCUUUGUCACUGGAUGCUACUUGAAGAGGGAGUACUUUGUAACCACUUUGAUAUGCUGUUAUCACCACCCCCUGCCCUCUGCUGCCAUAAUCACACAAAUUUAAAAAGAAAGAAAACAGUCUUCCAUAGAUUUUUAAGGAAGAAAGGGCCCAAGCCAGGAGAUCGCUUGGUUUUCUUCCAGAAGUUAAAUGGGGGGAUCUGAAGAUUUGAAUGUUUGGUCUGCUUUGAAAUGUAUGUCUUUUGGGAUGUAUUAUAUGCCUAGCUUUAUAAUCAGUAUAAAUUUUAAUUAUUCCAGGAAUAUGCAUAAUAUUGAAAUAUUUCAUGUCCUAUUUUAAUAGAAAACCUCAGGGCCCAAGUAACAGUGAUAGAAGUUAGAAAAACCUUUACUUAGAAUUGUCCACCUAGUCAGAGCCCAAGAAAGAAUUUUCAGUGGAAAAAUCAAUAUAUAACUUAGUGCUAGCUAGCGCCACAGACUCUAGUAGAUAAUAUUAUCAUCAUAAUGGCUGGUGAAACCAUAUAAUCACAGAAAAACAUUGCCUUCAGCAUGUUCAGUUCGCAGCACUGAGGGCACUCUUGAGGGUGUUGUUAAUGAAGAUUUAAUUUUUAAAUACAGGUGGUUCCAAGCUUUCAAAUAGGUUAUGCUCCAAAAGUGUUAUUUGUAAGUUAAUUUUUUUACAAGUCAAACAAUGUUGGAAGUGGUAUUUAGGUUCUAGAUCGGUCCACGAAAGUUAGCCCAUAUGUAUAUCUUGAAUAGUAUAGGGGAGGGUAUUCAUAAAGUCCUUAUGUGGUUUUAACUAAGUGAAAUUAUGGACAAGAGAAAUAAUUGUAAAAUCGUCUUAAAGGAAAAUUUAAUUUUUACUCCUGUUUAUGGGACAUUCGUUCUAUUAACUGUCAGACACAAUUUCUGUUUUCAUCUGAGAGCCAGUUUUCCUUUAUUUCUACAUCUAAAAUAAGAACAUAUUGUACACUAUUAUAUAAUACAGAAUUGUCUUAAACUUUAAUAAAUUCGCAUUUUAAAGGUGUUUACAGAUUAUUUUUUAUAUCUGUAGCUGAAUUUGUUAAAGUCUAAAAAGCUCAAGGACUUUAUGAAGAUCUCAUUAUAUGAGGAAAAUCAUAGGUUACCAUUUUAUAACUCUAUUGCCAUAAGAAAAUACACUCUAAAAUCUUGAUUUGAAACAUAUUAGAAACCUUGAUUCAGUGCUCAGUGGUCUCCUAGUAAGAAGUCACCGACGGUAGCGUCAUAUGAGAAGAAAGAAAUCCCCACCACCUCAACCUCUGCUGAGAUUGUGUGCUAGGAACAGCCUUCCCUCCGUUUCCCCUCAGUCAAACUUGAGCCAGCCUCUGGAUCGAUGUGAUCUUAUUGCAUGUUUCCAUGGGGUGUACCUAUACUUUAAGCCAAUCCUGCUGCAUUCACUGCUAAGUUAAAUAAAAAGCCAAGAAGAUUUUGCACUGUGCAGAUCCUUUGCUAUCUGACUUGCAUCUCUUCCCCCACCUGUCAGCUAGCCACCUGCUUGUUUGUGUUGGGAUAUUUUUUAGCACCUGAAGCACCAUCUGAAAGGGGCACCAUUUUCUUCUUCCCUUUGAUCUCACAUAUGCUCCCUAAAAAUCCUUAAGUUGUCAAUCUGAUCCCCAGUGUGAGGUUAAUGAGCAAAAUUGGUCUUUGGGGCCCUUUUUGUCCAAGCCCCACUGAAAGGCCUCUUCAGAAAACUAUUAUCUUUAAAGCCCUACUUUAACUCCUUAAUUCCAGCAUACAGCUAAAACUGGAUGUAUAUUCUGGCAAGUAAAGGCUGAGGACUCCUCUUUAAUCCUCAGAUCUAGAUAACUCAUGACAUUUUAUUUGACCAACAUAGCACAUGAUGAGAUAUCAAGGUAAUUAAAAUAGCAUGCUUGAAAAAAAAAUACGUAAUCUGUUUCACCUGUAACUGUUUAAGCCAAUAAACUUUUCAAAAUUUAUGUAAUGUGGGGCUUUUAUGUAGCACUUUACGUUUUCAUGCUGCUUAUUGUUUUAUUCUACUGAAAAAAAUGAAUUUCAAGAUUCUCAACUUUUUUAAUUUCAAAAAUUGUUUAUUGUUUUGACUAUAGGAAUACAAAAUUUCCUAUUUUGGGAGAAUAAGAACUCUUUUUGUCAUUUUUGGCUAUGAAUAAACUUUCUGGUCUUUUGAGACCACCCAUUUUUAUAGAUCAGAAUCAGAAAACAGGUAAACCUCACUCACACAUUUGGACUCAUUUGAACAAAAAUCUAGGCCAAAAUACUGAAAAGCCUAUGUGUUUUUUUAAUUGGAAGUAUAUGUAAGGUUAAUGCAUUUAGUGAACGUGACUAACAAAGACUAAUGUGCACAUUAACAGAUGUACUUUUUAAGGUUUUAUGGGAGGCUGUGCAUUGCUCAAAAGCUGUUGGGAACGCCUUCUGAACAGUUGCCUUCAGAACUAGUUUGAGCUGCUCAAUAAAACCAGUGACUUUACUCAU